AUUGAACGCUGGCGGCAGGCCUAACACAUGCAAGUCGAGCGGGGUUUUCGGACCUAGCGGCGGACGGGUGAGUAAUGCGUAGGAAGCUACCCGAUAGAGGGGGAUACCAGUUGGAAACGACUGUUAAUACCGCAUAAUGUCUACGGACCAAAGUGUGGGACCUUCUGGCCACAUGCUAUCGGAUGCGCCCACGUGGGAUUAGCUAGUUGGUGAGGUAAUGGCUCACCAAGGCGACGAUCCCUAGCUGGUUUGAGAGGAUGAUCAGCCACACUGGAACUGAGACACGGUCCAGACUCCUACGGGAGGCAGCAGUGGGGAAUAUUGGACAAUGGGCGCAAGCCUGAUCCAGCCAUACCGCGUGUGUGAAGAAGGCCUUCGGGUUGUAAAGCACUUUCAGCGAGGAGGAAGGGGUGAGUGUUAAUAGUACUCAUCUUUGACGUUACUCGCAGAAGAAGCACCGGCUAUCUCUGUGCCAGCCGCCGCCGUAACAC
rnacentral:rRNA from 1 species